AGUAAUGAAUUACUGAUAAGUGGCCUCUUUUAGAAGGAAAUUAUUCAAGGGAGCAGGUGAGAGCCUGCAGACAUUCAUCUUCUCAGCUCUACAAAGCUGGCCGGGAGAUGGGGAAAGGAGAGGACACACAGAGACCCCGAGGGAGGAUGGCGACAUGAAGACAGGAGUAGAGACUGGAGUUAUGCUGCUGUGAGCCACAGCUGGAAGAGACAGAGAAGAUCCAUUCUUCCCUGGAGGCUUCCAAAGUGGGACCUAAAUCAAAAGAGGGGACUCUGCAGGGAGUGUAGUCCCUGGUGGAGGCUGCCCUGGUGCUGGGAUUGUGUGUUGCAGCAGAUCCGAGUCUGGGAGUUCAUGUGGUAGAUAAAGAUGCUGUGAGGAGUCUUUGAAAAAUCACAGACAAGGAAGCCUUGAGCAGAGUAAACACAGGCUCUGCCAGGUUAGAGUGGCUCGAUUCCCAGGUGAUGAAUGCUUCUGCCAGAGGACAAAGUGAAGUUACUACUGAACUAGUCACAACAACUACCUAGACACUGCGGGAUCUUCCUUGGGUGGACCAUCAGCAGGACAAACAACUGAUGGACCCAGGCACACGCAGGAGGAAGGGGUCCGGCCCUCUCAGAGAAAGGCAUUCCCACUGGGAUCUGAGAGAGAAAUCUCCUUCCAACAGGUGAAAAUGGAGCAGAAAAGGAGCUGGAGAGCUACCAUAGGACCAGCAUGGCCACACUCCCUGAGGAGGAGCUGGAGCUAGCGGCUGGCCGGUGGAGAGGUGGAUCGAACUCUCACCUGCCACUGCCCUGCAGAUUCACGGGACUGGAGCAGCUUUUAUCCUGGGGGUUGUUUGCCUCUGGUUUUCCUGCUGAGCUGUAAACCCUGUCUGCUGGGGAUGCGCCCAGUCCCUGGAUGCUAACCGCAAGUUCUCAAAUCCCAAGCCACAGACCUGACCCUCAUCUGAUGAAACAAUCAGCAGUGCCAAAGGCCUUAUUGAUAAACUUUUCCUCCAAGUCCAAGAAUCACAGAGAUCAACUGAGGGAAGUGCCCCUGGCAGAGGAGCCGGGAUGAAUGUGGACUUGGGUCACAUCAGAAUCUGCCUUUUAUUAUGCUGCUAACUGGAGUGGCUUCACACGCGAUAAUUGGAUGUCUUGCCAAGUGGGACACUGUUGCAUGCAAACACGCUUGCACACACACGCUCCCAUGUGCACACACACACACGCAGAUACGUAAGGAGGCCCAGAGAUACACAUGCAGCAGAUGCAACAGUAUUUCACACAGAGAGACUUCUGGAUCCCCAGGCCAGCUGGGAAUUUCAGUCCCAAUAAUAGAUGACUGUCCCUGCCCUAACCAGAAAUCAGUUAUUUCAACCUCCAACCCAGAAUAUAAAAACGUUUUCUAAUUUCCUGAGUUGACACACAGCCUCUUGUGCCUCUCCAAAGUUGGGAAACCUAGUGCGUCACUGGGAACCCCAUGUGAUCAUUGUUAUUAAUGACAAUAAUAGCUAUAGAUUUUUGAGUCUAGCUCUGUGCCUCGUACUAUGCUAGUAGUAGACUAUCUCAAAUAAUCCAGCAAGGGGGAAACUCUUAUCUCCAUUUUACAGAAGCUUAUCCUGUGUUUUAGAGAAACUAACCUGCUCCUGCAUUUAGCACGAGGCGGAACUGGGAUUUGAGCCUGGAACUCUUACUCCACCACCCUGGCUCUUGCUAAGUCCUAUUAGCUUGUAUAGGACACGCUUCCUUCUCUGUUCUUCUGUAAGUUCUGCUGAUUGAUCCCUGGCUGUAGGUCUGGAGUCUUGCAGAGGUCUCUUCCUGUCCUCUUGUCCCUAUCCUUUGAUGCCCCCUGGAAGUCCUUUUUCAAAUACAGGUCCCCAAGGAAUUCCCCAGAGAUAGUUCCUUCCUCGGUUCAACGCUGUACUUCAAGUGUGCCAUUGGGUUUUUGAGAAGCCACAUCCCAUCACUGCCUGUUUUAAAAAACUACAGUUUUUUUUAUUUGAUUUUAGUUAGCCCAUUUUUUAACAUAAACUGCUGUAAGCUACUUCUGUAGCUGAGAUUUAAAAAUAUGUUUUCAGCUUAUUAUGCCAGCUACUUAUAAGAUUGUUUUGAAGUUCUAGUUUGUCAGCCAGUACAUGAGCUAGGCUUGCAGCUUCCAGACAAACUGGCUGAGCAGGUUUUCUGUGCCCAGCCAAUGAUCAAAACCAGGCCAAGGGUCAAGGUUGACUCUGUUCCAUCUGCUAGAGACCACCUAUCGGUGACACUGAUCUGUGAAGCAUGACUCUGGUUCCAAUGUCAAAUACUGGGUUUCACUGUGAAUUUGGACUAAAACUAGAUUGAUGCCAGGGGUCCCUUCUGAAGAAUUAGAGGGCAAAGUUCAAUUGCAAGCCAGGAAAAAAGGGUAAGGUCAGGGGAGAAAUACUGAAGCUGGGAACCUUGUGCCUUGCCAGAAGGCGAGAGAGGCCGAAGACAAACCCAGGUGUUGGCAUUCAGUCUGCAAACACCAGCAGCUUAAGGAGGAUAUACCAACGAGGGAGUUCAAGACAAGCACCCAGCUUAGGAAUAGGCAGCUUAAAGAGGCAUUUCAGGCAAUGUCCAAACAAAUUCCAGAAGGCUGAAUCCUGAUGGUGUGGGGCUUCUUUUAAAGGUGCAGACUCCCACCCUUUCUGAGCAUGUACCCAGCUAUCUUAAAGGUACCAUGGGCUCAUUCCAAAUGGCUUCUGAUCAACUUUAGAUCUGCCGGUAUGAUUCUAUCAGAUGACAUUAUUUAUCUCUGGUUUCUUCAUUUUGUUCACAAGGAUAUCUUGAAAAUUGUAGUCAAUUAACUUUCUGAAAUUGAAAUACAUCAUAUCUAGGGCAUUCCCUUUGAAUUGGUUAGGAUUUUUUUUUUUCUUGCAGGUCAUAAAAAUCCAAAUUAAACUUGGUUAAACAACAAGGAAAUUGAUGGUCUCACAAAAUGAGAGGCCCAGAAAUAGAUGCACCUUCGAGGUUGGUCAAUUCAGUAGAUGAACAAUGUUUUCAGAGACUCAGUUUCUGUCCUCUCAUUAGGAUCCAUGGUAGGAGCUUAAUUUUAAAUCUGGCUCCCUCAGGCUCAUCAGGUGACUGCCAGAGUAAUUGGGAUAACAUACUUCUUUGUUCCCAUGCACAGAGCGGGAGACUGGAUUCUCUUUCUCCAAAGCCUCAAGCAAGGUUUUCCUCUUGUUGCAUUGGUUCAAUUCUCUCAGACCUGCCCCCAAACUGAACCAAUCUUCAGGGGGACCAGAGUGAAAUGUACUGGGAAAUAUUCACUGCACUCCUGAUUCUUUGGUCCAGCUUUGCUCUCAGUAAAAUAAAUGAGCUCAUUUGGACUUGA